GGUCUCGUAGCUCAGUUGGCUAGAGUGCUGGCUAUACUAAAGCUUUCACCUUGCUGGCGUGGGUUCGAAUCCCACCGAGUUUU
rnacentral:tRNA from 1 species